UUCCUCCUGGCUGGCUUUAGCUGGGGGGGGGGGGGUGUCGAAUGGGCUGGGUCCCAAAGCCUGGGGUUCUCAUUCGUACCAGAGUCCCUAUCCUGGGGCCUCCCCCAGCCCUGGGUGAAGGACUUGGGACCCCUAGCAAGACUCCCUGACGUCCUCUGUCCAGGUGGAAACGUUCCAGGUUUAGAAGAACACCCAGCCCACCUUAAAGAUAGAGUGUAAGCUUAGGAGAGAAAAGGCUCUCUCCCAAGCUCACCCGGGCAUCCCUGGCCAGGCAGGAGCCAUAACUCAAGGGGCUCCCGUUUACCUGAAUGGUUUGAAGAAGGUCAGGACCCUGCCCAGAGCAUGCCUCCUCCUUCAUCUUUAAAACACUGUUUUCCACUCGAAGGACUGGGUGAGAGAGGGAAAGUGUGUGAGGCUUGCCUGUCAUAAAAAUGACUCGCUGGAGCUCAAGACUGCCCAGCAGGCCAUGGGGGCUCCCGUCAGAGCAGGAAGUGGCCUUAGACAGCUUGGAAUCUGAGCUGCUCAUUUUCAGAGGGAAAAACUUAGGUCUUAGAAGCGGGGAUAAUGACCUGGGAUCCCAAGGUGUUGGGGUUACUGGGGUCUUCAUCCUGAAUAGAGAGUGCUGUUCUCUCUGUUAUUUCACUGAAGCUGCCCACAGAGGCUGGGAAGGUUUGUAAUUAGGGAGCUGAGACACUCACCAGCAGGGAGGUGAGGGAUGGGGAGAUGGAGGGAUUAUGGGCCCAUCAGGGGCAGCUUCUGGGUCUGGAGGCCUCUAACCUGGACCAGACGGAGGAGGACCAGAAGCAGAGGUGGACGCUGGGAGGGAAAGCAGGAGACAGACAGACAGAUGAGAGAGGAGGAGGGAGAGAGAGGAGUCUCUGCUGUUCUGGGGAGUCUCUGAUGUUCCCUGGUCUCAGAUGGACAGACUGAGGCAGGAAGAGGGCCAGGGCCAGGUGGCCUCCUGAACUCGAAUCCUAGCUGUGGGUCCUGAGCAAGUCGCUUUACCUCUCUGAGCCUCUGCUUUCUCUCUGACAAAAUGGGAUAGAAUCCCAGAUGUGGUAGGAUCGACACGAGGCUAAAUGAAAUCACACACAUGAAAUGUCUUAGGAGACAGAAGACCCUCCAUACACAGUGGCUUGUUUUGUGUGUAACCUGCCCCCGAUGCCCUGCUGUCCUGGGGCAGCUCGGCAUUGAGCGCUCCUGCCCUUCUCAAGGGACACGAUGUCUGUGUGCCAGGAGGGCAGCACCCCUGUCCUCUGCAGCUCAUCACCCAGUUCUGUGCCUGUUUGAUAGUUGGCUAAGCUUGCUUCUGGGGCUUCUGGGGUUGGAGCCCAGCUCCUUUCUCCUUAACCCUUAUACAAAGCAGCAGAAUACGUGGUGCACGGACCUGAAGCCAGAUUCCUGCGUUCAAAUUCUCUCUCUAUCCUGUAUGAUUUUAG